rnacentral:rRNA from 1 species
GAUGAACGCUGGCGGCGUGCCUAAUACAUGCAAGUCGAGCGAACUGAUUAGAAGCUUGCUUCUAUGACGUUAGCGGCGGACGGGUGAGUAACACGUGGGCAACCUGCCUGUAAGACUGGGAUAACUUCGGGAAACCGAAGCUAAUACCGGAUAGGAUCUUCUCCUUCUUGGGAGAUGAUUGAAAGAUGGUUUCGGCUAUCACUUACAGAUGGGCCCGCGGUGCAUUAGCUAGUUGGUGAGGUAACGGCUCACCAAGGCAACGAUGCAUAGCCGACCUGAGAGGGUGAUCGGCCACACUGGGACUGAGACACGGCCCAGACUCCUACGGGAGGCAGCAGUAGGGAAUCUUCCGCAAUGGACGAAAGUCUGACGGAGCAACGCCGCGUGAGUGAUGAAGGCUCUCGGGUCGUAAAACUCUGUUGUUAGGGAAGAAUAAGUACAAGAGUAACUGCUUGUACCUUGACGGUACCUAACCAGAAAGCCACGGCUAACUACGUGCCAGCCGCCGCAGUAA